rnacentral:rRNA from 1 species
UACCAGCACCCCGAGUGGUCGGGCCGAUUAUUGGGCCUAAAGCAUCCGUAGCCGGUUCUACAAGUCUUCCGUUAAAUCCACCUGCUUAACAGAUGGGCUGCAGAGGAUACUAUAGAGCUAGGAGGCGGGAGAGGCAAGCGGUACUUAGUGGGUAGGGGUAAAAUCCGUUGAUCCAUUGAAGACCACCAGUGGCGAAGGCGGCUUGCCAGAACGCACUCGACGGUGAGGGAUGAAAGCUGGGGGAGCAAGCCGG